GUGUCUGAUGACACACCACCCUCUCCUCCCUCGUUGCUGUGUGUGAGAUUGGGGGCUGCUCCGGACAUUUGUCCCUGUGUGUGUUUGUGUGCUCAGCGUCUACGUGCAUGUGCGCAUGCGUAUACCAGUAACGUGGAGAUGGGGAGGUAUGGACGGGUCAUCUUCACUGUCCCUGACAUUUUCAUGCUCUUUCUUCUUUACUGCCCACAUCAGUCUCCAAAGGCUGACACAAUCCCAUGGCCACAGCGGACCCGGGAGGCAGGGGGAGGUGGAGACAAGAGAGUGAUCCUGUGGUGUGCUCAGAAGCAGAAGUAAUGGAAACAAUGGUGAAACAAGCCUCACGGCCACCACCCCAAGUCACUCCGAAGUUCCAGGAGGCCAAGGACGGUAUCUUACUUUAUACUUUCUCCUCCCUGACACGCCUGGCCUAAGCCUGGGUCAGAGCUGCUCCAUGAGCCAGCGCCCCACCUCCAGACCCAGAAAAGAGUCUCUCUUCCUCCUAACAGGCCGUCUGGUGCCUGAGGCAAUGGGGCAGAAGCUCUCCAGAGAGCCUCUGGCAGAGUUUUGGGUUAAAAAGUAUUGAGAGCUGACUUCCCUUUGAGCUAGCUUUUUGUCACAGACUGCCGUUUCUUUCCUGACGAAAGCCCACACUCCUGCCUCCGCUCCCACCCGAUCACGCGGCUCCACCUUGGUCUCUCUCGAACCCGGGCCCCUUCCAGCUUGUGCCACAUCUGAGGUGCGGUCUGAAACCCCAGAAGACAACACAACAACUUCUCUCUAUUGGCUUCUGUAUGUUGAGCCCUUCUCAGAGGCCAGGCACAGGGUUGACUGCUUUAACGUGUCAUUCGAUUACUUCUUGCCGCAAGCCAGUGAGGACACUGCUGUCAUCACGUUCGUUGCAGAGAUGAGGAUAUUAACACUCAGAGAAGUUUAAAAACUUACCCAAGGUGCCCUGCGAGUCCACAGGCGUUCUGGGUCCUACCGGUCUGACCCCCACCUCGCCUGCCUUCUGACUGGGCAGGUCACAAGGGGAGCACACGAACAAACCAUACAGUGGCAAUGUUUUAAUGGACCAUUUGGAGGUCCUUUCAGCCGAGCCUGCACCCAGAGGGAAAGUCUUGGGGGCUCUGCCCAAGGGGAGGAAUGAAAGAGGCAGACGCACGGGGAGGGUCAGAACGUUGCUUCCCUACCCGCUCGCUGCCCAGGCUUUGGAGCUGGGCUGGCUGGACAAGUGUGUUUACUUCUUGGGUAUUCCCUUUUUGUCACCGGAAAAGUGGGGAGGAGUUGCUCACUGUGACCACUAACCCCUCCCUCCAGUCACCUUCUGUCAAUGGUGUUUCCUUCCCUCGCAGGCCCCCUCACACCUCCUCUGCUUCCAUGGCUCGCCCUGGCCCUGCCCUUGGAGGGGAGCAUGUUAAUUCAGCAGUCAGUCCUGGCCACAGGAAGGUUCCGCCGGCCCUGGGCUUGGCUUCUCGUGAUUCUGUGGCAUGGAGGCCUGGGUUAGGUUCAAGGCAAAGGCCCGGCAAAAAACUGUCUCCUUCCCCGGACCUCUGAACCAUUCCACCGGACACAGGCCCUG